GCGGGAAUAGCUCAGUUGGUAGAGCACGACCUUGCCAAGGUCGGGGUCGCAUUCGAAAGUCUCGUUUCCCGCU
rnacentral:tRNA from 1 species